ensembl:lncRNA
GCAGCUGUGUGUGAAUGCGUGCACAGACUUCACCAGAGAAACUGGAAUACUGGCAACAAGCACACAACCCUGAACACACACUCCCAGGCAGAGGACAGGACUCUCUUUGAGUGCAAUAGAUACGGCUAAGUGGCUCAUGAAUCUACGGUUUCCUUCCCUGGACAUUUAUUGAAUCCCGUCUCAAAGCCGCUGUUCCCGUCUAACAACACCAGGAGAGAGAAACGCAGAAAGAGGGGUUUCCCAGAGACUAUGGGUUGAAGAGGAAUUGGAAGUUUGUCGGCUUAGACCUGGUGUCAUUCCAUCAGUGUUAAACUUCCCAGCUCAUCUUGGAAGAGUACAUGCCAGAAAGACCACAACCAAGCAGCCUUGAGAUCUUAGGCAACGUCUCCCUCAGGUCCCUCUCUAUCUCCCCACACAUCCACCAACCACUGGAACACAUCUCCAAAGUUCUGCUGGGCCAGCUCAGCUUCCCUUCAGAAGAAGUGCUGCCACCUGCCAGAUGAAGGAGCCUUUUGAGAGGCAGCUGGCAUCGUGAUUGGACUGUACUUUGGUCUGUUCCAAUCCAGCUUCAGCUCCAGAGACGGCAGACGGGACGAGUCAACGGAGGCCUGGUGGACGAAGUCAUGCAACCAAAGAACUACAGACUUCACAACCUGCUCAAACUCUUGGUACAGGACCUCACCACACGGGUCAAGAAGGUUUCCUUCUCAUUUCUACUCUGAAGCUCACCUUCUCCUGC